UGCAAGUCGAACGAUGAUCUCCAGCUUGCUGGGGGGAUUAGUGGCGAACGGGUGAGUAACACGUGAGUAACCUGCCCUUGACUCUGGGAUAAGCGCUGGAAACGGCGUCUAAUACCGGAUAUGACCUUCAACCGCAUGGUUUGUUGGUGGAAAGAAUUUCGGUCAAGGAUGGACUCGCGGCCUAUCAGGUAGUUGGUGAGGUAAUGGCUCACCAAGCCUACGACGGGUAGCCGGCCUGAGAGGGUGACCGGCCACACUGGGACUGAGACACGGCCCAGACUCCUACGGGAGGCAGCAGUGGGGAAUAUUGCACAAUGGGCGCAAGCCUGAUGCAGCAACGCCGCGUGAGGGAUGACGGCCUUCGGGUUGUAAACCUCUUUUAGUAGGGAAGAAGCGAAAGUGACGGUACCUGCAGAAAAAGCACCGGCUAACUACGUGCCAGCAGCCGCGGUAAUACGUAGGGUGCAAGCGUUGUCCGGAAUUAUUGGGCGUAAAGAGCUCGUAGGCGGUUUGUCGCGUCUGCUGUGAAAUCUGGGGGCUCAACCCCCAGCCUGCAGUGGGUACGGGCAGACUAGAGUGCGGUAGGGGAGAUUGGAAUUCCUGGUGUAGCGGUGGAAUGCGCAGAUAUCAGGAGGAACACCGAUGGCGAAGGCAGAUCUCUGGGCCGUUACUGACGCUGAGGAGCGAAAGCGUGGGGAGCGAACAGGAUUAGAUACCCUGGUAGUCCACGCCGUAAACGUUGGGAACUAGAUGUGGGGGCCAUUCCACGGUCUCCGUGUCGCAGCUAACGCAUUAAGUUCCCCGCCUGGGGAGUACGGCCGCAAGGCUAAAACUCAAAGGAAUUGACGGGGGCCCGCACAAGCGGCGGAGCAUGCGGAUUAAUUCGAUGCAACGCGAAGAACCUUACCAAGGCUUGACAUAUACCGGAAACGGCCAGAGAUGGUCGCCCCGCAAGGUCGGUAUACAGGUGGUGCAUGGUUGUCGUCAGCUCGUGUCGUGAGAUGUUGGGUUAAGUCCCGCAACGAGCGCAACCCUCGUUCUAUGUUGCCAGCACGUUAUGGUGGGAACUCAUAGGA
rnacentral:rRNA from 1 species